AGUCCCUUUUUCUUGAGAGAGUCUGGCUCUGUCACCAAGGCUGGAGGGCAGCGGCACAAUCUCGGCUCACUGCAACCUCUCUACAUUGCAUGUCUCAGCCUCCCGAGCAGGUGGGACCACAGGAGUGUGCCACCACACCCAGCUAAGUUUUGUAUUUUUUAGUAGAGAUGGGGUAUCACCAUGUUGGCCAGGCUGGUCUCAAACUCUCGGCCUCAGCCUCCCAAAGUGCUGGGAUUAUAGGUGUGAGCCACCACACCCAGCCUCUAUGUCCCUUUUAUCUGUGGACCCAACAAUCUUCUGCAGACAGAAGACUGUGUGAAUAAGCCAAUGCUUCCAAGAGAGCAUGCAUCCUAAUGAGAACGGAGACAGAUAAUAAAGAGGGAAACAAGUAAACCAACUAAUCAACGAUUAGGAGUGUCAGAUAGAGCCAGGUGCAGCCUGGACAACAUGAUGAGAUCCCCAUUUCUAAAAACAUAAAAUAAAUUAGCUGGGCAUGAUGGUGCACACCUGUAGCCCCAGCUUCUCAGGAGGCUGAGGUGGGAGGAUUGCUUAAGCCCGGGAGGUGAAGCCUACAGUGAGCCAUGAUCUCACCAUGCACUCCAGCCUAGACAACAGGGCAAGGCCCUCUAAAAAAAAAAAAAAAAAUUAAAAAGAUAGCAUGCUUUGGCCGGAUGUGGUGGCUCACGCCUGUAAUCCCAGCACUUUGGGAGGUCGAGGCGGGUGGAUCACCUGAGGUCAGGAGUACGAGAUCAGCCUGGCCAACACGGUGAAACCCCAUCUCUACUAAACAUACAAAAUUAACCGGGGUGUGGUGGCGCAUGCCUGUAAUCCCAGCUACUCUGGAGGCUGAGGCAGGAGAAUCGCUUGAACCCAGGAGGCAGAUGUUGUGGUGAGCUGAGAUUGCGCCAUUGCGCUCCAGCCUGGGCAACAAGAGCGAAGCUCCGUCUCAAAAAAGGAUAGCAUGCUUCAUAAGCGGUGAAAUGACAUGCAAAGGCCAUAGUUGUCAAGCACCAGUAACACCAGAGAGCUGCCUGUCUUUCCUUCAAGCAGACCAGAGAGGACCGUUCUGCUGGACGCCUACAGUGAACAUCUGGCAGCGGCCCUGUGCACCAAUCCAAACCUGAUAGAGCUGUCUCUGUACCGAAAUGCCCUGGGCAGCCGGGGGGUGAAGCUGCUCUGUCAAGGACUCAGACACCCCAACUGCAAACUUCAGAACCUGAGCACUUCAGGAGGCCAAGGCGGUUGGAUCACCUGAGGUCAGGAGUUCAAGACCAGCCUGGCCAACAUGGUGAAACCCCGUCUCUACUAAAAAUACAAAAAUUAGCCAGGCAUGGUGGCACACGUCUGUAAUCCCAGCUACUAAGGAGGCCAAGGCAGGCGAAUUGCUUCAACCCAGGAGGCAGAGGUUGUGGCUGAAGAAGUGCCGCAUCUCCAGCUCAGCCUGCGAGGACCUCUCUGCAGCUCUCAUAGCCAAUAAGAAUUUAACAAGGAUGGAUCUCAGUGGCAACGGUGUUGGAUUCCCAGGCAUGACGCUGCUGUGCGAGGGCCUGCGGCAUCCCCGAUGCAGGCUGCAGAUGAUUCAGUUGAGGAAGUGUCAGCUGGAGUCCGGGGCUUGUCAGGAAAUGGCUUCUGUGCUCAGCACCAACCCACAUCUGGUUGAGUUGGACCUGACAGGAAAUGCACUGGAGGAUUUGGGCCUGAGGUUACUGUGCCAGGGACUGAGGCACCCAGUCUGCAGACUACGGACUUUGUGGCUGAAGAUCUGCCACCUCACUGCUGCUGCCUGUGAAGAGCUGGCCUCAACUCUCAGUGUGAACCAGAGCCUGAGAGAGCUGGACCUGAGCCUAAAUGAGCUGGGGGACCUCGGGGUGCUGCUGCUGUGUGAGGGCCUCAGGCAUCCCACGUGCAAGCUCCAGACCCUCCGGCUGGAUAGCUGUGGACUCACAGCCAAGGCUUGUAAGAAUCUUUACUUCACCCUGGGGAUCAACCAGACCUUGACCGACCUUUAUCUGACCAACAACGCCCUAGGGGACACAGGUGUCCGACUGCUUUGCAAGCGGCUGAGCCAUCCUGGCUGCAAACUCCGAGUCCUCUGGUUAUUUGGGAUGGACCUGAAUAAAAUGACCCACAGUAGGUUGGCAGCGCUUCGAGUAACAAAACCUUAUUUGGACAUUGGCUGCUGAAUGGUCCUAUCUGCUGGCUCUCCCCUGAGAUCUGGACAGAGGAAGAUGGGAGGGUGCUCAUCACCCCUACAGCAUAAUGAUCAUGCUCCUUCCUAGAGACAAACUCAUGCAGAUUGAGAUCAGAAGUCCCUCUGCUUGGGAUCAAAUUAAUGUUUGACAGAGCUGGCCAGGCGUGGUGGCUCAUGUCUGUAAUCCCAGCACUUCGAGAGGCCCAGGCAGGUGGAUCACGAGGUCAGGAGUUUGAGAUCAGCCUGGCCAAGAUGGUGAAACCCUGUCUCUACUAAAAAUAAAAAAAAAAUUAGCCGGG
rnacentral:sRNA from 1 species